CUCACAGCACUUUGCACAACUUACAAUCAAUAGAAAUCCUAAACUGGUCUAAAAGGUCAAAAUAAAGCACAGCAAAAUACUGUGCACUAGAGUUUAGCAGGGUUUGUUUUCAGUCUAAUUAUCCUUACAACAGCCUUGAAUCCCUAUCUUUGUAACAGCCACUGUAAUUAACAUUACUGGGUUUUCAUUUUCAUAAUCACUCAUUUUAAGAGUGAAAACAACAGUUUCAAGACAAAUUAGGGGAAAAAAAAAACAAGCAGUAUGAAAAAAAUCAACCUUGAAGAUCUUCACACCUUUUGAGAUCUUAUAUCUUCAAGUUGUACCUUCUGCGUUAGCUCACAGCACUAUGCACAAUUUACAAUCAAUAGAAAUCCUAAACUGGUCUAAAAGGUCAAAAUAAAGCACAGCAAAAUACUGUGCACUAGAGUUUAGCAGGGUUUGUUUUCAGUCUAAUUAUCCUUACAACAGCCUUGAAUCCUUAUCUUUGUAACAGCCACUGUAAUUAACAUUACUGGGUUUUCAUUUUCAUAAUCACUCAUUUUAAGAGUGAAAACAACAGUUUCAAGACAAAUUAGGGAAAAAAAAAAAACAAGCAGUAUGAAAAAAAUCAACCUUGAAGAUCUUCACACCUUUUGAGAUCUUAUAUCUUCAAGUUGUACCUUCUGCGUUAGCUCACAGCACUAUGCACAAUUUACAAUCAAUAGAAAUCCUAAACUGGUCUAAAAGGUCAAAAUAAAGCACAGCAAAAUACUGUGCACUAGAGUUUAGCAGGGUUUGUUUUCAGUCUAAUUAUCCUUACAACAGCCUUGAAUCCCCAUCUUUGUAACAGCCACUGCGGCUCCUGUUUCCAUCAUUAACAUUACUGGGUUUUCAUUUUUGUUGUCAUUCAUUUCAAGAGUGUCAAAAUAAAGCACAGCAAAAUACUGUGCACUUGAGUUUAGCAGGGUUUGUUUUCAGUCUAAUUAUCCUUACAACAGCCUUGAAUCCUUAUCUUUGUAACAGCCACUGUAAUUAACAUUACUGGGUUUUCAUUUUCAUAAUCACUCAUUUUAAGAGUGAAAACAACAGUUUCAAGACAAAUUAGGGAAAAAAAAAACAAGCAGUAUGAAAAAAAUCAACCUGGUCUGUGCAUCGGGCAUCCAUUCCUCGUUGAAGAUCUUCACACCUUUUGAGAUCUUAUAUCUUCAAGUUGUACUUGCUGCGUUAGCUCACAGCACUAUGCACAACUUACAAUCAAUAGAAAUGCUAAACUGAUCUAAAAGGUCAAAAUAAAGCACAGAAAAGUACUGUGCACUACAGUUUAGCAGGGUUUGUUUUCAGUCUAAUUAUCCUUACAACAGCCUUGAAUCCCUAUCUUUGUAACAGCCACUGCGGCUCCUGUUUCCAUCAUUAACAUUACUGGGUUUUCAUUUUUGUUGUCAUUCAUUUCAAGAGUGUCAAAAUAAAGCACAGCAAAAUACUGUGCACUUGAGUUUAGCAGGGUUUGUUUUCAGUCUAAUUAUCCUUACAACAGCCUUGAAUCCUUAUCUUUGUAACAGCCACUGUAAUUAACAUUACUGGGUUUUCAUUUUCAUAAUCACUCAUUUUAAGAGUGAAAACAACAGUUUUAAUACAAAUUAGGGGGGAAAAAAACAAGCAGUAU